ACUUCCCUACAAACACAUGUAUUCAGUAAUGCAGCACACGUGUAGCCUAUCUGUCUUCAUUCAUGUAGAAGAUUGAUGCCUUAUUCACUUCACUACUUUUCACAUUUUCUUCUCCUCUGCUCUUUACUCUUUCAAUAAACCUCUUCGAUUUGGAUUUGAAAUUGGGAUUUUAACCUCAGAAAUGGACCAAACAAUUGAAAUGGCAUGAUUGGGAUUGAACAUGCUGGUAAAAGUCUAAUUCGUGAUGGAGCUGAUUUCGUUACUUUUCCUUUGAAGUGUCAAAUGUGUUGUAUUUCGACCUUUCAAAGGUGAGAUUCGAGGAACGACAAUUAGCAUGGUUAACGAGUUCUGUUGUUCACUUAUUGAAGACCCCUACGACGUCUUCUUUGGAUCCACAUCCAACCAAUUUCAUAGCUGGAGAUGAACAACUUCUAUUGAUGUUACUCUUGAAAUUUUGAGUUCGUCCGACGCUUUGGGGCCACAGAGAUUUCCUGAAACACAAGUGCAAGGCGAGCCUUUUCCUGAAAUAUCAGUGUACACUUUUAUGUGAGAUGGUGAAAUUUCUUUGUAACAAAUGCUGUCUACAAUGGUCAGGGGAUCAACUUAUCUAGGUGAAAUUAAAGUAGCGAUUCAAACGACAUUCUUGCCUUCUCUUUGUUGAAGAGUCAAAAGCUGUUUUAAUUCCAAGCUAUCUUAUUGCUUUUAAAUUGAUGUAUAGAAUGCUAUUCCUUGAUCUCCGUAUGAGAUGUUUUAUGUCAUACCAAAAAAGUAUGAUUGCAUCAAGAUUUUUUUACGUUUGUAAAAAAAAGCAUUCGUAGAGCCGUGCAAAGAGCAGCAAAUGCGAAUUGCUUUAACGGAGGUGUCUGAUUAAGUCAUUUGAAUGAUUUGACCCGGCAUCACUUUCAGUUUUCGUAGGCACGUAUAGAACAAACGUAGAGAUAAGGUUGAAUUCUGAAUACACUCUAAAUAUAAAGACUUUAUAUAAGCCAAGUAGCCAACAACUAGACAUCUGCCAUAAUACGUAGCUAGAGUUUGAUUACCUUUAAGGCUUACGAUUAUGGUAACUAAAGAAUUUGCACAAAAAUAGGUUGAAGAAGCUACGUCUAAUGUGUCAAAUUUUUUGCAUAUUAUCUAAGUUGCUCUACUUUUAAUUUCUACCAACUAAGUUGCAAAAAUUAAUUCCAUUAGUUGUUCGACCUACUUUUGUUCCUAGCAGAUCUUCUUGAAGUUGUAUUGAUAAUGUUCGUAUAAGAAUAAAAUAAAGUUCCUUCUUUCUGUUCCAUUUAUGUAUCUAACUAAUCGCUAAAUAUUGAGUUGCAUUUGUAUACAAUAAUCAAAUUGUAGCGGGUAUAGUUUAGUGGUAAAAGUAUGAUUCGUUCUAUUAUUUCUUAAAUAGUUCCUUUCUUUCUGUUCCAUUUAAAUAUCUAAUUAAUCGCUAAAUAUUGAGCUUAAGCUAAUGUUUGAUUAGACAAUUGUUUACUUUAGUGUAUCAUGUUAUUGAAAAAUAAUUUGUAUUUAUUUUCUUUUCUUUUUGAGUGCAUGAUGCAUCUGAGACUUAUAUUUUUCAGCUGAAACAAUACACGGCCUUAUGGCUCUGUUUGCUGACAAAUAAAUCAUUUUAGCAACUGUCAAUUAUGAGCAAUGUAAAUCAUGAAUUUAGUUGCAAAUUUAUGUGCUUAAGCUGGUAAAGAAAGUAAAAAAUGACUACCUAGAAUUAUUAUUAGGGAAUUGCAUAUGUUGUUGUUGUAAUUGCAUAUGUAGUUCAACAGUUGAGUAUUCUUACUUUCGACAUGGGUGUUGGUCCUUUAGAAGUGGCUCUGUAUCCUUUUUGAAAUACUCAAGCAUGUAGUUUAAUUCUAGCUUGCAGCGAGUUAGGGUGAACUUUCUUUAUUGAGGUCGCAAGUCUUCUUUUUUAUUAGUAAGUUGUUUUGUCCUAAUUCAGAUCAUCUUAUCAUCUUAUUAGUCUGCUGAUAAUGAUGUGUACUGUUGUAGUGCCCAUGAUCUGGAUAUUGCUGACAUCGAUAUGGUUUAUUCAACUCUAAUUUUAUCAAACAUUUAGUACUUUCCAAACUGAACAGUUCGCUAGGCGAGGUCUUUUAUUAAAGAUAUGUAAAAUGUCUACAUUAAGGGAUUUGUAGAUGAGCUAUUUGAUAGGUGAGGGAUGACCUUUAUACUUCCUAGGUAAAAACUAUAAGAAGUUUCUGUGGGUACGUAAUUUUACUUAAUGGAUGGACAGGAAAUUUCGUUGAUUCGGAUAUUAAAGUUAUAAUGUAUGGAAAGAGGUUAAUGAAUAAUUACUGAUUUCACAGGAACAUUGGUAUAUUAUUCUUGAGGAAUGACAACGGGAAAGCAGGAUCAUAGCUUAAGGAAACAAUUUUAUCAGAUAAAUGAAUUUAGUUGAUGUUGAGACUAAAAAGGAGGCUGAUUUAACUUAAUGGAUUGCUGAUAGAAGGAUUUAGGAGUACCAUUCGUGCAGUUGCAAGUCAGUUGUGAAUAGUUAAACAUACUUUUAGAUUGAGUUAGAUGAAUGUGCAACUCUCAAAAGACCUGCUUUACAACGAGGAGGAAUGCAAGUCUAUGAAGAAUUAAACCGAAAAGCAUUUAGAAGAAUACCAGUCAACAUUGCAAGGGGUUUGUGGAAUGGGAUAUUUUUUAAGGGAACUCUACUACGGUACAAUUUUUGAAUUUCUCGUAUCUUGGUUUAUUAGGCAUCUGGUGUAAACAACGUUUUAUAGUGAUGACUGAUGAGCAUAUAUAGCAGAAUUUUUGUUACUGAGUGUAUGGUAGGAUUUAUUCAUCUUAUGGAAAGAUAUUAUUGUAAGAACAACCAGCACUUAAGUCUUUGGUAUUUGGCUUUAUUAUUGCAACUUUUGCUUACUUACUAAUAUUUUGCUUGCUGACUUAUAAACCUUUUCCUAUCAUCAAGCUGUAUGAGCUUUUGCUAACAAACCUUGAACAAUAUACAUAUCUUCUUGAGUCGACCUGUCGAUGUAUAUAUUCAUAUCACAAAUGGUGUUUAAAGUUCAAGCAAGCUUAUCUUCUUAACUACUUUUUAUUGGGCUUCGCACAUAUACUGUUAAGAUCUGAUAGAACAGAUCGCCAUUGAAAUAGCUCAAAGAGAACCUUAGUUUCUAGAGAGAGAAUAUAUGUGAAGAAGAAGAGAUAUUAUUGAAUUUCUGCAAAAAUAUAUGUCCUCAUCUGAGUAUUACAUGUGUUUAUAUAUUACAAUGAAUAAAGGAAACUAAAAUGAUAUGAUC